rnacentral:rRNA from 1 species
CCUACGGGUGGCAGCAGUGGGGGAUAUUGCACAAUGGGGGAAACCCUGAUGCAGCGACGCCGCGUGGGUGAAGGAGCGUUUCGGCGCGUAAAGCCCUGUCGGCAGGGAAGAAAGUUACGGUAACUGACCAAGCAGCCUCUGCUAACUACGAGCCAGCAGCUGCGGGAAUACGUAGGGGGCAAGCGUUAUACGGAUGUUCUGGGGUUAAAGGUGGCGCAGGCGGUAAAGCAAGCCUGGAGUGAAAGCGCUGGGCGCAACCCGGGGACUGCUCUUGAAACUGCAUGGCUGGAGUACAGGAGGGGCAGGCGGAAUUCCUAGUGUAGCGGUGAAAUGCGUAGAUAUAAGGAGGAACACCGGUGGCGAAGGCGGCCUGCUGGACUGUGACUGACGUUGAGGCCCGAAGGCGUGGGGAGCAAACAGGAUUAGAUACCCUUGUAGUC